rnacentral:rRNA from 1 species
AGUGGGGAAUCUUCCACAAUGGGCGCAAGCCUGAUGGAGCAACGCCGCGUGAAUGAAGAAGGCCUUAGGGUCGUAAAGUUCUGUCCUUAGGGAAGAACCGUGGGUAUAGCAAAUGAUACCCACCUGACGGUACCUUUGGAGGAAGCACUGGCUAACUACGUGCCAGCAGCCGCGGUAAUACGUAGAGUGCAAGCGUUGUCCGGAAUUAUUGGGCGUAAAGGGUACGCAGGCGGAUAGUAAAGUCAAGCGUGAAAGGUGUCGGCUUAACCGACAGACUGCGUUUGAAACUGAUUAUCUUGAGUGUAACAGAGGAGAGUGGAAUUCCUAGUGUAGUGGUGAAAUACGUAGAUAUUAGGAAGAACACCAGUGGCGAAGGCGACUCUCUGGGUUAACACUGACGCUGAGGUACGAAAGCUGGGGGAGCGAACGGGAUUAGAUACCCCGGUAGUCCCAGCCGUAAACGAUGGAUACUAGGUGUUGGAGGUUCGAAUCCUUCAGUGCCGGAGUUAACGCAUUAAGUAUCCCGCCUGGGGAUUACGAUCGCAAGAUUG